GGCUCUGUAGUGAAGUUCAUGAUGAGUUGCAAGCUCGUAGAUGCGCAUUGAUAAUGUGCCGGAGUCU
rnacentral:tRNA from 1 species